rnacentral:snoRNA from 1 species
UGCACUUUUAAGAGCCCCCGGCCCUGCCUUUCGGCAUCGUGGGCUGUGGGGUGUCAUAGGGUGCAGAGAUGA